rnacentral:rRNA from 1 species
AGCGAACGCUGGCGGCAGGCUUAACACUUGCAAGUCGAGCGGGCAUCCUUGUGGUGUCAGCGGCAGACGGGUGAGUAACGCGUGGGAACGUGCCCUUCGGUUCGGAAUAACUCAGGGAAACUUGAGCUAAUACCGGAUACGUGCGAGAGCAGAAAGGUUUAUCUGCCGAAGGAUCGGCCCGCGUCUGAUUAGCUAGUUGGUGAGGUUAUGGCUCACCAAGGCGACGAUCAGUAGCUGGUCUGAGAGGAUGAUCAGCCACACUGGGACUGAGACACGGCCCAGACUCCUACGGGAGGCAGCAGUGGGGAAUAUUGGACAAUGGGGGCAACCCUGAUCCAGCCAUGCCGCGUGAGUGAUGACGGCCUUAGGGUUGUAAAGCUCUUUUCUCCGGGACGAUAAUGACGGUACCGGAGGAAUAAGCCCCGGCUAACUUCGUG